rnacentral:lncRNA from 1 species
GUACGAAAAUUAGCACUUAUUUGUCAAAAAAAAAUAGGUUAAUUAAAUUUUAUGCGAAAAUCGCAUACAUCUGCACGAAUUUUGUAUAAAAGCUUAUGCAUAUAUGUACAUACGUACGUAUGUAUGUAUGUAUGUAUGUAUGUGUGUACGUAUACAUGUUCAUACAUAUGGCAAAACAUAUACCCAAUUUUUUUUUUACACGCGUGCAUACACGUCUUUAAAAACAAAAAGCUGAUAUAAUAAAGUAUAUAUAAUCAAUAUUUGUAAUAAAAACAUGCCUAUUAAUUCUAAUAAACACAACAAUGACACUGAUACGAAAAAAGGUUCAAGUAAAACAAGUGAAAUGUAUGGGGAAGAGUAUGAUUAUAAAGACAACCCUAAUGUUGAUAAUGGUAAAACUGAUAAUUAUGAUGAUGAUGAUGAUGAUAUUGAUGAUACGCAUAAGUUAAUGCAAGUAUUACAUAGCUAUGAAAAUUUUCAAAAAAGAAACUUAAAUUGUGAGAGAUUAAAUCCUUAUAAAAAAAAUGAUAAAGUAACUAGGUUACACCAAACAUUAAUAAAUUUAUUAUCUAAAAGUGAACAUAAAAUGGAUAAUAAUAGUAAUAUAUAUCCAAAUAAAAAAAAAAAAAAAAAUAAUAAUUAUGAUAAAAAUGGUAAUAUAAAAAGCAAUGGAUAUGCUAAACCCGAUUCAAAUUAUAUUUUAACUAGUCGAGCAGCUAUGUGGAAAGAAGUUGAAAACAAUGAUGAUCCUGAAUAUAAUUUAAAACUGGAAAGUCCAAAAAAAAAAAAAUCAUUUAUAGAGAGGAUAACAGAUUAUAUAAGUCCAUCAUCAGAAGAUACAUUAAAUAAUCAAAAAGAUAUGACUUAUCUAGCUUUUUUUAUGAUUUUAUUUUCUGUUUGUAUAACUUGUAUAUCUGGUUUAGUUACUAUUCUUUUGAAUACAAAAAGUGAACCACUCCAUUGGAAAUAUAACACUAUGUAUAAUAAUAACAAUUAUAAAGAUGAACAGUUAAGUAAAUUCAUAAAUUUUACAAAACUUGGAAAUGAACAGAAUGCUACAGACGACUCAAAUUAUUUUCGACUGAACGAAAUGCUAGAGCAAAUCAAAAAUAGUAUGAACGAAAAUAUGAACAUGAAUGUACAGAAUAAACAAGAAACAAAUGCUUUACAUGAGUUAAAUAAUAAAAUGAAUAAUAACUAUAAAGAAUUAGAAAGUAAUAUACAAAACUUACAAAAUAAACUAAACGAAAUAGAACAUAAACUAGUUAUUAAUACAAAAAGCAUUGAUUAUUUACGGAACACUUCUAAAAAAGAAGUAGAUAUUAUAAAAAAAAAAAUACAAGACAAUUAUGACAAAUUUAAAAAUAAGUUUAAAGAGUAUAUUAAAACUAUUGAUAUGAUAAAAAAUGAUAUGAAUCAAAAAAAUAUGAUGUUAAACGAAUUUGAAAAAAAAAUUAACAUUAAUGAAAUA